rnacentral:rRNA from 1 species
UACGAAGGUGGCAAGCGUUACUCGGAAUUACUGGGCGUAAAGGGCUCGUAGGCGGCCAACUAAGUCGGACGUGAAAUCCCCAGGCUCAACCUGGGAACUGCGUCCGAUACUGGAUGGCUUGAAUCCGGGAGAGGGAUGCAGAAUUCCAGGUGUAGCGGUGAAAUGCGUAGAUAUCUGGAGGAAUACCGGUGGCGAAGGCGGCAUCCUGGACCGGCAUUGACGCUGAGGAGCGAAAGCCAGGGGAGCAAACGGG